rnacentral:tRNA from 1 species
GGGGUUGUAGCUCAGUGGUAAAGCACUUGCCUUGCACGCAUGAGGCCCUGGGUUCAAUCCUCAGCACCACA